UACAGAGGGGGCAAGCGUUGUUCGGAAUUACUGGGCGUAAAGGGCUCGUAGGCGGCCAACUAAGUCAGACGUGAAAUCCCUCAGCUUAACUGGGGAACUGCGUCUGAUACUGGAUGGCUUGGAUUCGGGAGAGGAAUGCGGAAUUCCAGGUGUAGCGGUGAAAUGCGUAGAUAUCUGGAGGAACACCGGUGGCGAAGGCGGCAUUCUGGACCGAUAUUGACGCUGAGGAGCGAAAGCGUGGGGAGCAAACGGG
rnacentral:rRNA from 1 species